AUUGAACGCUGGCGGCAGGCCUAACACAUGCAAGUCGAACGAGUGGCGGACGGGUGAGUCAUGUCUGGGAAACUGCCUGAUGGAGGGGGAUAACUACUGGAAACGGUAGCUAAUACCGCAUACCAUCAGAUGUGCCCAGAUGGGAUUGGCUUGUUGGUGGGGUAACGGCUCACCAAGGCGACGAUCCCUAGCUGGUCUGAGAGGCAGACCGGCCACUCUGGACCAGAGACGCGGCACAGACUCCUACGGGAGGCAGCAGUGGGGAAUAUUGCACAAUGGGCGCAAGCCUGAUGCAGCCAUGCCGGGUGUAUGAAGAAGUCUUUCGGGUUGUAAAUUACUUUCAGCGGGGAGGCGUUACCCGCAGAAGAAGCACCGGCUAACUCCGUGCCAGCAGCCGGGUAAUAC
rnacentral:rRNA from 1 species